rnacentral:rRNA from 1 species
AAAACUUUCAACAACGGAUCUCUUGGUUCUGGCAUCGAUGAAGAACGCAGCGAAAUGCGACAAGUAAUGUGAAUUGCAGAAUUCAGUGAAUCAUCGAAUCUUUGAACGCACAUUGCGCCC